CUACGGGACGCAGCAGUGAGGAAUAUUGCACAAUGGGGGGAACCCUGAUGCAGCAACGCCGCGUGGAGGAUGACGCAUUUCGGUGUGUAAACUCCUUUUAUAUGUCGAGAAAAUGACGGUAGCAUAUGAAUAAGCACCGGCUAACUCCGUGCCAGCAGCCGCGGUAAUACGGAGGGUGCAAGCGUUACUCGGAAUCACUGGGCGUAAAGGACGCGUAGGCGGGUUGGAAAGUCAGGUGUGAAAUCCUACAGCUUAACUGUAGAACUGCACUUGAAACUGCUAAUCUAGAGUAUGGGAGGGGGAGAUGGAAUUAGUGGUGUAGGGGUAAAAUCCGUAGAUAUCACUAGGAAUACCUAAAGCGAAGGCGAUCUCCUGGAACAUUACUGACGCUAAGGCGUGAAAGCGUGGGGAGCAAACAGGAUUAGAUACCCGCGUAGUC
rnacentral:rRNA from 1 species